AUGUCAAUUGAAUAUUGCAUAUAUGGACAAGACCUUAACUCGAGAGGGACAAGCAAUGAACAAGAUAGAUGGCACUACACUUGGAACUGCAAUCACUAUUCAUCCAUGUGGAUGUACAAAGCCCUUGAAGAGACAGAGAUCCAUCAUAACAUUUUUAAGCUCAUAUGGGACACCUCUUGUAGACUCGGGCAUAAGAUAUUCUUCUGGAUGCUAUACCAGGAUAGAUUAAACACAAGGAACUUGUUGCACCGUAAGAGUAUGUACCUGCCAGAUUCUAAUUGUGUACUCUAUUCUCAUAAUACUCAAGAAACUUCCAUGCACCUGCUCUGGGAUUGUCCAUUUGCCAUUACCUGCUAG
rnacentral:rRNA from 1 species